ensembl:snoRNA
UGUUCCUCUCAUUGCUUUUGAGUUUUGGCAGUGGGUUCACAGAUCAAAUCUGGUCUUUUCUUCACUCAGGGCACCAUUGGAUGGAUUGACCAUCCAUUAGUGCUUUCUGAAUUUUUCGGGGCCAGACAUUU